rnacentral:rRNA from 1 species
CGGGAAGAGCUCAAAUUUAAAAUCUGGUGGUCUUUGGCCAUCCGAGUUGUAAUCUAGAGAGGUGUUUUCGGUGCUGGACCAUGUAAAAGUCCCUUGGAACAGGGCGUCAUAGAGGGUGAGAAUCCCGUCCAUGACAUGGACUCCCAGUGCUGUGUGAUACACCUUCAAA